rnacentral:rRNA from 1 species
AGAGUUUGAUCCUGGCUCAGGAUGAACGCUAGCGACAGGCUUAACACAUGCAAGUCGAGGGGCAGCACAGGUAGCAAUACCGGGUGGCGACCGGCGCACGGGUGAGUAACGCGUAUGCAACUUGCCUAUCAGAGGGGGAUAACCCGGCGAAAGUCGGACUAAUACCGCAUGAAGCAGGGAUCCCGCAUGGGAAUAUUUGCUAAAGAUUCAUCGCUGAUAGAUAGGCAUGCGUUCCAUUAGGCAGUUGGCGGGGUAACGGCCCACCAAACCGACGAUGGAUAGGGGUUCUGAGAGGAAGGUCCCCCACAUUGGUACUGAGACACGGACCAAACUCCUACGGGAGGCAGCAGUGAGGAAUAUUGGUCAAUGGCCGAGAGGCUGAACCAGCCAAGUCGCGUGAGGGAUGAAGGUUCUAUGGAUCGUAAACCUCUUUUAUAAGGGAAUAAAGUGCGGGACGUGUCCCGUUUUGUAUGUACCUUAUGAAUAAGGAUCGGCUAACUCCGUGCCAGCAGCCGCGGUAAUACGGAGGAUCCGAGCGUUAUCCGGAUUUAUUGGGUUUAAAGGGUGCGUAGGCGGCCUUUUAAGUCAGCGGUGAAAGUCUGUGGCUCAACCAUAGAAUUGCCGUUGAAACUGGGGGGCUUGAGUAUGUUUGAGGCAGGCGGAAUGCGUGGUGUAGCGGUGAAAUGCAUAGAUAUCACGCAGAACCCCGAUUGCGAAGGCAGCCUGCCAAGCCAUUACUGACGCUGAUGCACGAAAGCGUGGGGAUCAAACAGGAUUAGAUACCCUGGUAGUCCACGCAGUAAACGAUGAUUACUAGGAGUUUGCGAUACACAGUAAGCUCUACAGCGAAAGCGUUAAGUAAUCCACCUGGGGAGUCCGAGGACCUAAAAAAGGGCAAAGAGGUUGUGGAUAUACAGGUUGAAAAUGCAUUGCUGAAGCGGGCGCUUGGUUACGAGUAUGUCGAGGACAAAGUUGAAAUGGGGCCGAACGGGAAAAAGGUUACGCAAACGAUCAAGCAGGUCAUACCGGAUACAACAGCACAGAUAUU